GACGAACGCUGGCGGCGUGCUUAACACAUGCAAGUCGAACGGAAAGGCCCUGCUUUUGUGGGGUGCUCGAGUGGCGAACGGGUGAGUAACACGUGAGUAACCUGCCCUUGACUUUGGGAUAACUUCAGGAAACUGGGGCUAAUACCUGAUAGGAGCUCCUGCUGCAUGGUGGGGGUUGGAAAGUUUCGGCGGUUGGGGAUGGACUCGCGGCUUAUCAGCUUGUUGGUGGGGUAGUGGCUUACCAAGGCUUUGAAGGGUAGCCGGCCUGAGAGGGUGACCGGCCACAUUGGGACUGAGAUAGGGCCCAGACUCCUACGGGAGGCAGCAGUGGGGAAUAUUGCACAAUGGGCGGAAGCCUGAUGCAGAAACGCCGCGUGCGGGAUGACGGCCUUCGGGUUGUAAACCGCUUUCGCCUGUGACGAAGCGUGAGUGACGGUAAUGGGUAAAGAAGCACCGGCUAACUACGUG
rnacentral:rRNA from 1 species